rnacentral:rRNA from 1 species
AGGGAAUAUUGCGCAAUGGAGGAAACUCUGACGCAGCGACGCCGCGUGAGUGAUGAAGGCUUUCGGGUUGUAAAGCUCUGUUCUCAGGGAAAAAGAAAGUGAUGGUACCUGAGAAGAAAGGACCGGCUAACUUCGUGCCAGCAGCCGCGGUAAGACGGGGGGUCCAAGCGUUGCUCGGAAUCAUUGGGCGUAAAGGGGGCGUAGGUGGCUUUGUAAGUCAGAAGUGAAAGCCCUGGGCUCAACCCGGGAAGUGCUUUUGAUACUGCGAAGCUUGAAUGUGGUAGAGGAUAGUAGAAUUCCUGGUGUAGUGGUGAAAUACGUAGAUAUCAGGAGGAAUACCUGUGGCGAAGGCGGCUAUCUGGACCAACAGUGACACUGAGGCCCGAAAGCGUGGGGAUCAAAC